AUUUAUCAAAUUAUAUUGCACACAUAAUCAUGGCUUUGAAAUCACCCCUAGCCAAGAGGGGUUUAGUCACUCAUAUUUACAACAAAACGAAAGGAAAUGAAUUUAAACAUUAGAAACAAAAGAAAGAAAACACCUAAACGCUCCAAUAAUCCAAGUUGGACAGCAAGCACGUCCAAGCACUUUCCUUCCCUUCCUUUGCUACGGCACAAGGUGUUAGUGAGUGUUUGAAGGUUUGUUUGUAUGGAGGAAUGGAUGUGAAGAUGAAUGGAUGUGUUUGGAUGAAGGUUGUGUUGAAAUGGGAGUGAAUGAUCUAACCAAGUAUGAACUCAAUUUAUGUUACACACACUU
rnacentral:lncRNA from 1 species